rnacentral:rRNA from 1 species
GAUGAACGCUGGCGGCGUGCCUAAUACAUGCCAGUCGAGCGAACAGAUGAGGAGCUUGCUCCUCUGACGUUAGCGGCGGACGGGUGAGUAACACGUGGAUAACCUACCUAUAAGACUGGGAUAACUUCGGGAAACCGGAGCUAAUACCGGAUAAUAUAUUGAACCGCAUGGUUCAAUAGUGAAAGACGGUUUUGCUGUCACUUAUAGAUGGAUCCGCGCCGCAUUAGCUAGUUGGUAAGGUAACGGCUUACCAAGGCAACGAUGCGUAGCCGACCUGAGAGGGUGAGCGGCCACACUGGAACUGAGACACGGUCCAGACUCCUACGGGAGGCAGCAAUAGGGAAUCGUCCGCAAUGGGCGAAAGCCUGACGGAGCAGCGCCGCGUGAGUGAUGAAGGUCUUCGGAUCGUAAAACUCUGUUAUUAGGGAAGAACAAAUGUGUAAGUAACUAUGCACGUCUUGACGGUACCUAAUCAGAAAGCCACGGCUAACUACGUG